rnacentral:rRNA from 1 species
GACGAACGCUGGCGGCGUGCCUAAUACAUGCAAGUUGAGCGCUGAAGGUUGGUACUUGUACCAACUGGAUGAGCAGCGAACGGGUGAGUAACGCGUGGGGAAUCUGCCUUUGAGCGGGGGACAACAUUUGGAAACGAAUGCUAAUACCGCAUAAAAACUUUAAACACAAGUUUUAAGUUUGAAAGAUGCAAUUGCAUCGCUCAAAGAUGAUCCCGCGUUGUAUUAGCUAGUUGGUGAGGUAAAGGCUCACCAAGGCGAUGAUACAUAGCCGACCUGAGAGGGUGAUCGGCCAAAUUGGGACUGAGACACGGCCCAAACUCCUACGGGAGGCAGCAGUAGGGAAUCUUCGGCAAUGGACGAAAGUCUGACCGAGCAACGCCGCGUGAGUGAAGAAGGUUUUCGGAUCGUAAAAAUCUGUUGGUAGAGAAGAACGUUGGUGGGAGUGGAAAGCUCAUCAAGUGACGGUAACUAACCAGAAAGGGACGGCUAACUACGUG